GACGAACGCUGGCGGCGUGCCUAAUACAUGCAAGUCGAACGAGUGGCGGACGGGUGAGUAAUGUAUGGGGAUCUGCCUGAUGGAGGGGGAUAACUACUGGAAACGGUAGCUAAUACCGCAUACCAUCAGAUGAACCCAUAUGGGAUUAGCUUGUAGGUGAGGUAACGGCUCACCUAGGCGACGAUCCCUAGCUGGUCUGAGAGGAUGAUCAGCCACACUGGGACUGAGACACGGCCCAGACUCCUACGGGAGGCAGCAGUGGGGAAUAUUGCACAAUGGGCGCAAGCCUGAUGCAGCCAUGCCGCGUGUAUGAAGAAGGCCUUCGGGUUGUAAAGUACUUUCAGUCGGGAGGCGUUACCGACAGAAGAAGCACCGGCUAACUCCGUGCCAGCAGCCGCGGUAAUUC
rnacentral:rRNA from 1 species